rnacentral:lncRNA from 1 species
GGCCAGCGGACGAGCACUCAGAGAAGGGAGUUGCGUGAGGUGCAGACGCCUCCUCCUGCUUUGUCGCUUGGUCCUUUUGAAGCCCAGUGGAACCCAGAGAGCUCACCGUGCAUCUGCUGGAGCGCUGGAUUGUCUGAGCAAAUUGGAAGAACAUGAACUUAGGCCCUUCACUCACCUGGAAGAUCUUGGCCUGCCUCCUGAGGGUCCACAAGGCUGUGGCUGGUCGUGGUCCAGGAUGUCACCCAAAAGGCUACCAGCUGGGGUCAGCUUUGAGAGGCUCCAAUCAAGAAGGGAGCAUGUGGCAGAACAGACACAGCCCACUGUCACCGUGGGGAGGAAGAAUCACUAGAAGCGCUUGGGCUGCUGGUGGCAGGUGCAGAGUGUCACCUUCAAACAAGAGGAGGGAGUGACCAACGUGAGUCCUCCUCUGUCGGGGCUGCAGGAAUUCGCCCCUCGUCUCACGUGGUGCUUGUUGCUGUGUCUGUGGCUCAUCUCCUCCAGCAGCCCAGGAGCACCCUGGUCAGACGCUCUUCUGUUCCCAUGGCACCCACUGGGUGUGACAGAAGAGUGAUGUGUAGACGGCCCCGCCCACCCCAUCCUGGGGCACAGGUGGCGCGGUGUGAGUGGCAAACCAGCAAGUGACAGGAAGUCCCGGAGUCGUUGAUUACAGGGAACGGGAAAGGCAGAGCACUUCACAGAAGGGGAAGAGCUCUCUCAUCCAUGAUUCUCUUGCUAAAUAAAAUCCUCUUGUUCCCAAAAGUGUGAGCAGAGAGAACAGCUCGUGGGUUUCCAGGUUGUCAGCAGAAGCCCAUCAGAGCCUCGUCUGCGGCCUCGAUGGCGCCUGCUGGAGUUGUGUUGUGACCUUGGACGACAGCCUUGGUGCAGGGGAGAGCGUCAGUCCCCAGGCCAGCACGGAUGAGGCCCCAGCACCAUCAGGAGCAAGCCACCAUCAGGGUGGCGCUGGCCUUCCUUUGUACCCGGGGGUGUUCUCAAAGCAGGGUCUCCAACCCCAUCCCUGGAGGAUGAUCACCGAGUCGGCACUUGUGGUCCUGCAACUCCUCUGUGCCUGAGAGUCUCCUCCAGGAGACCCCAGCCCAGCAUCCCCCAGAGAGCGCCGUGGGGUGAGCAGGGGACCCACCCAGGACC